rnacentral:lncRNA from 1 species
AUUAUGGGGCUCUUCAACUUUUCCAGUCUGAGGCGUCUGGGCCCCAGAGCUGCCAUCUCUGGGCAAGGGGUGCGGGGAACCUGCUCUGGUCUCCGUGGUAACAGGGCUGCUCAGCUUGUAGGAGGGGAAUUCAAACGUUGGCAUUGCUAUAGUAACCCUUGAGUGGGAGGGUACCAGCGAGAGAGAAAUGACAUUAAGGACAUUGGGGGAGGAGUCAGAGUAACAACAGGGAACUGAGGUGUUCCUGGAGGGGUGGAGGAGUGUGGUGGAGGAAUCAGUUUGCAGCAGGGGAAGUUAGGCUGCUGUUGGGAGAACCGGGGUGUUGUGGAGGAGUGGGAGUGUUAUGAUGAAUCCGUGUGGGGAGAUCAUUGAGAAAGCAGUAACUGGGAUGCUUUGUACGAAGUGGAGAUGCAGUAGCAGAAAUUUUGUUUUGUCAGGCUUAUUCCAAAAACUUUACAUUUUAGAUGCUGUUGUAAAUCGUACCAUUUCUACUGUUUUCCCUAUUGUUUUUUUCUGUAUAGAAGUGCAAUAGAUUUCUGUAUAUAGAUUUUUUUCACCUUCUAAUCUUCGUCUGGCAGAGGUAAAACACUCACCACAUGUUCCACUUGCUCCCUGGCUCCUCCCACACUGCUGUAGGGAACUUGGGGACAUGGGACAGUUCUGGCUACUGAAAUCAACACCGGACAUUCCAGACAGAGGCCUGCAUGAGCCUUGGUCCCUGAGCAGCUACAUGGCACAGAGCCCUCCUGCCAACUACCAUGGUUUGAGUUGCCUGUUUAACUGUAACAUGGACCCGCUGACCAAACUCUUCCCUUUCUCCUUCUCCCCUACCCUUCUCAGCCCCCAUUCUGUGAGAUCAUCUAUUUUAGAUGCCCCAUAAAAGCGAGAUCAUUUGGUAAUUUUCUUUAUGUGCCUGGCUUGUUUCAGUUAAGAUAAUGUCCUUCAGGUUCAUUCAUGUUGCUGUAAAUGACAGGAUUUCAUUCUUUUAUAUGGCCAAAUAAUUUAAAAGAGCAAAAACAAGCAAAUAAAAUUAGUUUUAAUUGUAUAUAAUAUAUUAAUUUACUCAAAGUACCAUAAUGUAAAC